rnacentral:misc_RNA from 1 species
UGGAUUUCAGCAGGUAUAUAUAGUGUCUUAAAUGAAAAAAAUAGAAAGGUUUCAUUUGGACUUCUUUGAACCCUCAUCACAUUACAGACUAUAUUAUAAUGGAUUUGACCUGAGGCUCAGGAAGGGUGUCAAGUGUCUGACUGGUUCUCUUCCAACCUAUUUAAGAUCUGUUCUAAGAUUUAUUGAAAUGAUUGACAAUUUUGUUUAAGCAAUAAUGUUGUGUUUUCUUGCCACAUUCUCUACAAUAAAGACAAAUCCAAAUAAUACAAUAAAUGAUCUGCUGCCUUAGUUUCUGGAUUUUAUUGUGGGGGUUCACUCACAUGAAUGCUUAGUGGAUCCUCAGGUGCUAGUAAUUCUCAAGGUUCAUGAUUUCAAUUCCAGGUAUGUGUUUUCACAUUAUCAGCCAGGUUAAUCUAAUGCGACAUCACUGAUUGAAGUUGAUUCAAAACAAAAACAUGUACUUCUAUUAGAAAUUAAGGUUUUACUUCAUGAAUUCAUGCUUUUAUGUUUGACUAAUAGUUUUUACUUUACUUACGGAAAUCAAUAUCAUCCAACAAAGAUUAGUGCAACAAAGUAGCAAAGCCUUGAAAGAAAAACUUUAAUUGGAUAUUGAGAAGUGAUGGUAAGUGCAAUGAAGUAUUUGUUCUAAUGAGAACUCAAAACAACUCUUACUUUGUUGUUUCCAGAUUAAGCUAAUGUUAAGGUAAACACCAAUGUUAUUUCUGGACUAGCAUUUAGAAAUUAUUCUUAUUGAUCAACUAUCUAGGAAACUUAAUCAGAGAAGUUGAACGGUAACCAUUUUCUUUGUUACGUGCUGCUCUGGAGGUACAGGAUAACCCAUCUGCAGUUGACAUCCUUCUGGCAUGUCAACUGUUUUGGUAAAAUGGAUCUCUAUAGUUCUGGUGUUAUUGCUCUGCACCUAUUCUUAUAUCAACUAAUUCAGCGUUUGUAUCAGUGUUCAACCCCAGUUGACCAGUAACAUUUACACUUCCAAGUUUUGUAUCAACGGAUUAAAUGCCUAAAUUUGCAAGUAUUUUGCUAGGUUGGACAUAUAAUUUUUACUGACCUUUUUUGCUUCACAGGCCUUUUUGUGAACAUCAGUUUCCACAAGUUUUUUUCCGAAUAAACCUUGACAGAUCGUGCAAAGCCAUGUGCUUUUUGAUUCCGGCUCUGUGUUUCCCCUUUUAUAUUUUACCGGAUUGUUGUUUUUCCCCUUUUUGUUACAUCCAUGUUUAGGAGCUGUCAUCUGCAAAAUGUUCAUUAAAU